GAUCCUGGCUCAGGAUGAACGCUGGCGGCGUGCCUAACACAUGCAAGUCGAACGAAGAGGCGGCAUCAGAAUCCUUCGGGAGGAAGAAGCCGUUUACUGAGUGGCGGACGGGUGAGUAACGCGUGGGCAACCUGCCCAGUACAGGGGGACAACAGUUGGAAACGACUGCUAAUACCGCAUAAGCCUGUAAUGCCGCAUGGCAUAUCAGGAAAAACUCCGGUGGUACUGGAUGGGCCCGCGU
rnacentral:rRNA from 1 species